rnacentral:rRNA from 1 species
CCUGACUGCUAUCGGAUUGAUACUAAGCCAUGCGAGUCUUUGUAGUAAUACAAGGCAUACGGCUCAGUAACGCGUAGUCAACCUACCCUAUGGACAAGAAUAAUCUCGGGAAACUGAGCAUAAUUCUUGAUAGAUCAUAAUGCCUGGAAUGGUUUAUGGUUAAAAUGAUUCGUCGCCAUAGGAUGGGACUGCGGCCUAUCAGCUUGUUGGUGAGGUAAUGGCCCACCAAGGCGAUAACAGGUACGGGCUCUGAGAGGAGAAGCCCGGAGAUGGGUACUGAGACAAGGACCCAGGCCCUAUGGGGCGCAGCAGGCGAGAAAACUUUGCAAUGUGCGAAAGCACGACAAGGUUAGUCCGAGUGAUUUCUGCUAAAGAGAUCUUUUGCUAGUUAUAAAACCACUAGUGAAUAAGGGGUGGGCAAGUUCUGGUGUCAGCCGCCGCGGUAAAACCAGCACCUCAAGUGGUCAGGAUGAUUUAUUGGGCCUAAAGCAUCCGUAGCCGGCUCUGUAAGUUUUCGGUUAAAUCUAUGCGCUCAACGUAUGGGCUGCCGAAAAUACUGCAGAGAUAGGGAGUGGGAGAGGUAGACGGUACUCGGUAGGAAGGGGUAAAAUCCUUUGAUCUAUCGAUGACCACCUGUGGCGAAGGCGGUCUACCAGAACACGUUCGACGGUGAGGGAUGAAAGCUGGGGGAGCAAACCGGAUUAGAUACCCGGGUAGUCCCAGCUGUAAACGAUGCAGACUCGAUGAUGCAUUGGCAUAUAGCCAGUGCAGUGUCGCAGGGAAGCCGUUAAGUCUGCCGCCUGGGAAGUACGUACGCAAGUAUGAAACUUAAAGGAAUUGGCGGGGGAGCACCACAAGGGGUGAAGCCUGCGGUUC